rnacentral:rRNA from 1 species
GUUGGAAACGACUGCUAAUACCGCCAUAAGAACCACAGUACCGCAUGGUACAGUGAUCAAAGGAUUUAUUCGCUGAAGGAUGGCUUCGCGUCCGAUUAGGUAGUUGGUGAGGUAACGGCCCACCAAGCCUACGAUCGGUAGCCGGACUGAGAGGUUGAUCGGCCACAUUGGGACUGAGACACGGCCCAGACUCCUACGGGAGGCAGCAUG